rnacentral:rRNA from 1 species
CCUACGGGAGACAGCAGUGAGGAAUAUUGGUCAAUGGCCGGAAGGCUGAACCAGCCAUGCCGCGUGAAGGUCAGUGCCCUAUGGGCGUUAAACUUCUUUUGUGCGGGAGCAAUAAUGGUCACGUGUGGCCAGACGAGAGUACCGUACGAAUAAGCAUCGGCUAACUCCGUGCCAGCAGCCGCGGUAAUACGGGGGAUGCAGGCGUUAUCCGGAUUUAUUGGGGUUAAAGGGGGCGUAGGCUGUGAGGUAAGUCAGCGGUGAAAUGCCCCCGCUCAACGGGGUGAAGUGCCAUUGAUACUGCCUUGCUGGAAUGCGGAUGCCGUGGGAGGAAUGUGUGGUGUAGCGGUGAAAUGCAUAGAUAUCACACAGAACACCGAUUGCGAAGGCAUCUCACGAAUCCGCGAUUGACGCUGAUGCACGAAAGCGUGGGUAUCAAACAGGAUUAGAUACCCGUGUAGUC